ensembl:lncRNA
GCACCAAUGUGUCCAGUAAGACUUCAUAAAGACGUUCAUUGUCAGCGAUGGCAGGAUGGGUGGAGAUUUAAGCCCCUCUUUUACAAAAGAAGGUCAGAGGUGGAAGCAGGAGCUGUGGUGCGGCAGAAGAGCAUGGAACAAAGAUUUAAGACGUCUGGGUCUGAUGGUUUUGCCUUCCAGGAGCUCAGUCUCCAUAUCUGUAAAAUGGAGAGUAUAUUCUCAUCUUCACUGGGUUGCUGAGAGGAACAGGUACGAAAUGCAUGUGAAGAUGCUU